rnacentral:rRNA from 1 species
UACGAAGGGUGCAAGCGUUACUCGGAAUUAUUGGGCGUAAAGAGCUCGUAGGCGGUCUGUCGCGUCGGCUGUGAAAACCCGGAGCUCAACUCCGGGCCUGCAGUCGAUACGGGCAGACUGGAGUUCGGCAGGGGAGACUGGAAUUCCCAGUGUAGAGGUGAAAUUCGUAGAUAUUGGGAAGAACACCGGUGGCGAAGGCGGCGACCUGGUCCUUGACUGACGCUGAGGCGCGAGAGCGUGGGGAGCAAACAGG